AGCGAGUAAGACAGACUCUUCAGUCUGAUGUUACGGAGAUGAGUAGAACAAAGUGAGGGACUAUGGGUUA
rfam:Pelargonium necrotic spot virus complete genome, genomic RNA